rnacentral:rRNA from 1 species
UAGGGAAUAUUGCAAAAUGGGCGAAAGCCCGAUGCAGCAACGCCGCGUGGGCGAUGAAGGCCUUCGGGUCGUAAAGCCCUUUUUGAGGGGAUGAGGAAGGACAGUACCCUCAGAAUAAGCCUCGGCUAACUACGUGCCAGCAGCCGCGGUAAAACGUAGGAGGCGAGCGCUAUCCGGAUUUACUGGGCGUAAAGCGCGUGCAGGCGGAUUGGAGAGUUGGAUGUGAAAGCUCCCGGCUUAACUGGGAGAGGUCGUUCAAUACUUCCAGUCUUGAGUGCAGUAGAGGGAAGUGGAAUUCCGGGUGUAGUGGUGAAAUGCGUAGAUAUCCGGAGGAACACCAGUGGCGAAAGCGGCUUCCUGGACUGUAACUGACGCUCAGACGCGAAAGCUAGGGUAGCAAACG